rnacentral:rRNA from 1 species
UGCAGUCGAACGAUGAUCCGGUGCUUGCAUCGGGGAUUAGUGGCGAACGGGUGAGUAACACGUGAGUAACCUGCCCUUAACUCUGGGAUAAGCCUGGGAAACUGGGUCUAAUACCGGAUAUGACUCCUCAUCGCAUGGUGGGGGGUGGAAAGCUUUAUUGUGGUUUUGGAUGGACUCGCGGCCUAUCAGCUUGUUGGUGAGGUAAUGGCUCACCAAGGCGACGACGGGUAGCCGGCCUGAGAGGGUGACCGGCCACACUGGGACUGAGACACGGCCCAGACUCCUACGGGAGGCAGCAGUGGGGAAUAUUGCACAAUGGGCGCAAGCCUGAUGCAGCGACGCCGCGUGAGGGAUGACGGCCUUCGGGUUGUAAACCUCUUUCAGUAGGGAAGAAGCGAAAGUGACGGUACCUGCAGAAGAAGCGCCGGCUAACUACGUGCCAGCAGCCGCGGUAAUACGUAGGGCGCAAGCGUUAUCCGGAAUUAUUGGGCGUAAAGAGCUCGUAGGCGGUUUGUCGCGUCUGCCGUGAAAGUCCGGGGCUCAACUCCGGAUCUGCGGUGGGUACGGGCAGACUAGAGUGAUGUAGGGGAGACUGGAAUUCCUGGUGUAGCGGUGAAAUGCGCAGAUAUCAGGAGGAACACCGAUGGCGAAGGCAGGUCUCUGGGCAUUAACUGACGCUGAGGAGCGAAAGCAUGGGGAGCGAACAGGAUUAGAUACCCUGGUAGUCCAUGCCGUAAACGUUGGGCACUAGGUGUGGGGGACAUUCCACGUUUUCCGCGCCGUAGCUAACGCAUUAAGUGCCCCGCCUGGGGAGUACGGCCGCAAGGCUAAAACUCAAAGGAAUUGACGGGGGCCCGCACAAGCGGCGGAGCAUGCGGAUUAAUUCGAUGCAACGCGAAGACCUUACCAAGGCUUGACAUGGACCGGACCGGGCUGGAAACAGUCUUCCCCUUUGGGGCCGGUUCACAGGUGGUGCAUGGUUGUCGUCAGCCUCGUGUCG